GGAUGAUUCAAUUGCUGCAAAAGGAUGUGUUUGGGAGCAAGCAGAAAUGGAGCAGCUCUGUUCAAGAUGUGAAGAUCUGAUUCUUUUUCUUGCACCCUCUGGUGGCAAUAUCCAUAUA
rnacentral:lncRNA from 1 species